CAGCAGUCGCCACGGUAAUACGUAGGUGGCAAGCGUUGUCCGGAAUUAUUGGGCGUAAAGGGCUCGCAGGCGGUUUCUUAAGUCUGAUGUGAAAGCCCCCGGCUCAACCGGGGAGGGUCAUUGGAAACUGGGAAACUUGAGUGCAGAAGAGGAGAGUGGAAUUCCACGUGUAGCGGUGAAAUGCGUAGAGAUGUGGAGGAACACCAGUGGCGAAGGCGACUCUCUGGUCUGUAACUGACGCUGAGGAGCGAAAGCGUGGGGAGCGAACAGGAUUAGAUACCCCGGUAGUCCCUGUCUCUUAUAC
rnacentral:rRNA from 1 species